rnacentral:lncRNA from 1 species
AACAACUUUCAUUUUUUAUAUUUAUAUAUACAUCACAAGAAACCUUCUUUUUGAAACAAUCUCACAUCCUAGUUAAUAAACUCCCCCAAGAAUUUAGUCAUGCACUUUAUUGCAUUGUGAAGUGUAACCUCGAUCUUGACCCUUUUAGAGGGCUCUCCCAAUAAGUUCAACCUGACACCAAGCAUGUAAUUUCAUUGUACAUUAAAAUUCCAAAAACAACAAGAAGCAAAGCCAUGGAAACUAUAUUUUUUCACUUCACUGGUGCCUAAGCCCCAAGAAGAUGGGCCAAUAAAGGGAUGCUUACUCUUUUCCUCAAGGGCUCAUGUAUAUUAAUUAUGAAUUUUUUUUAGAAUUUUAAUGCUAACGUGCUGAUGCAAACUUUCUUCAAUAUUAGAUUUUUUUGUGAAUUUUCUUCAUUUUUGUAUAUAGGUUGUGCACAAUUUCUAUAUGCUUCUGCAAAAUAUGUAAUCCUUAUCUCUUGAAACCGAAACAAAAGUAUUCCUUUUUUUAAUAGUUUAUUCUAAUGCAGCGCUUGUGUUUUCUUCCGGCUCGAAUUUAGUCAGCACAACUAAUUGAAUUGGCUUUAAUCAUAUAUAGUAUAUGUUUGCAAUGUCCUGAUCGAUAUAGAAAAAGGUAUUUUUAAAGCAAGUGAGUUAUAAGCUAGUGUAGAACUUCAGCAUAUGCAACGUAAGAUUUUUGUUAUCAGCAAUUCAAUCAUAUAGUACAUGCUGCAUGUAUUUUAAGUGAAAUAUUUCAAACGAAUUUGCUGUUUGAUAUGUUAUUAGCUUAUAUCACACUUUGUUCAUUUUUGGCAUUUUAGAUUUAUCUCUAGUUUUUUUACCCAAGUUUUACACUCAUAUUGAAAUUUGCAUGGUACCCUUUUUGCAUUCUUGCCACAUUUGUCCAAUAUGUAACUUUAGUACAGCCGUUUGCAAGUAUGUGGACGCACCAUAUUUUAAUAUGCCAUAAAACAGCAUACAUGGUGGAGGGAUAAGGGGUCGAACCCCCAAUUUUAAAAUUGAUCAAAUUUUGAAAAGUUUGCCCUUGCAAAAUUCAUAUGAGGGGGUAUUGACAAUUGCGGUCUGCCACUGUGGUUUGUUAUAUAUGUGCAUAGAGUAAGGCGUUGGGGACAUAUACAUGUAUUCUAGAAUGUUAUGUAAUUGUCACUAGCAGAAACAGCUCUAUGGGGUGUUUAAAUGCAAUAGAACUAAUAGUUAGUUGGCUAAAAAUUGUUAGUGAAAUUAUCUAGCUAACAAAAAACUAUCCAACUAUUAACUAAUUUACCAAAAAAUAGUUAAUAGCUGAACUAUUAGCCAUGGUAGCCGCUAAUUAUUAGCUCUAGUUCAUUCAAACACCCGCUAUGUCUACGAUGAGAUCUAAUUUUUACAGACGGUUUCAAUUAUUAAGAAAUCUGCAUGUAGAAAUUAUAUUUCUACUGACGGUACCUUAUUAAGAAAACCACCAAUACAAAUCCAUGAAUUCUACAGACGGAUUUCUUAAGGAACCGCAUGUAGAAAUCGAUUUCUACAGGAACCGCCAAUAAAACUAGAAGUAUCACCGGUGUUUGAUAACUAAAAUCGUCUAUAAAAAUUGGGCCUCAUAGUAGGCGUAGAGCUGUUUUUGAUCCAGCUUCUAGUUUUCGAUAGUUAGUUUCACUUUUUAAGAAAAAAACAUAAGAACAGCACGUAUUUUCUUUAAUUUGUACUGUACUUUUGUCACAUAUGUCCUUUACUUAAGUUAAUUAAGUGGAUCCUGGCAAGAAUAUAACUUAUCAAUAUAUAAAUUGUUCAUUUUUUCAUUAAAAUAGAAGAUUGUACGAACUUAGUAUUUAUAAAAAAUGGUAUAGACGGUGUUGGGGACGUAAACAAAUAUUUCAGAGUGGUGUGUGAUUAUUCUCUCACCCUUUUAUUUUGCAUAUUGAGGAUAUUGCAAGUGUAGCUUUGACAUUUAAUUCUUCCAUGGAUAAUUUUGUGUUAAUAAGAAAAUGCAUAUUUAAUAUAAUAAUCCACUAAAAAUAAAUAGAUUUAGGCAUUCCAUGUUACAUUUAGAAAAGAAAAAAAAACUAGCAUUUACAGAGAAGGCAUAUUUUAAUUUCCCUGAUAACAGUAUUUAAAACUAUACUGGAAUGUGUAACAUGUGCGGUUAUUAGUUUGCCCAACCAAAUCCAAAAAAAGGGAAUGCAUAUUAGAGAUUUAUAAUUGCUUUUAAUCCACUGAUGUUAGCUAAAAAAACAGAAACAAAGUAAAGUUUAUUAUAUUAGAACGAAAAUCACCACAGAUUAUGUUGUUUCUCACCAUUCCUUUUGAUCUAAAUGGCAGGCCGAGAGCUCAUACCAUAUGAGAGCCCAAGCCCCACCAUGGGCAUCCACCGUCUUGUGUUGGUGCUCUACCAGCAAUUGGGGCGGGGCACGGUGUUUGCGCCGCAAGUUCGUCAGAACUUCAACUUGC